rnacentral:hammerhead_ribozyme from 1 species
ACCCAACUGACAAGUCCCAAAUAGGACGAAAGCUAGGUCCUGAAU